rnacentral:rRNA from 1 species
GAUGAACGCUAGCGGCAGGCCUAAUACAUGCAAGUCGAACGGUGUCUUCGGACAUAGUGGCGCACGGGUGCGUAACACGUAUGCAACCUACCUUACAUUGGGGGAUAGCCUUUCGAAAGGGAGAUUAAUACCGCAUAAGACAGUAGCUGGGCAUCCAGCAGCUGUUAAAGAUUUAUCGAUGUAAGCUGGGCAUGCGUCCAAUUAGCUAGUUGGUGAGGUAACGGCUCACCAAGGCAAUGAUUGGUAGGGGAACUGAGAGGUCAAUCCCCCACACUGGCACUGGGAUACGGGCCAGACUCCGACGGGAGGCAGCAGUAGGGAAUAUUGGGCAAUGGACGCAAGUCGGACCCAGCCAUGCCGCGUGCAGGAUGAAGGCGUUAUGCGUUGUAAACUGCUUUUAUACAGGAAGAAACGACUCUUGCGAGAGGCAUUGACGGUACUGUAUGAAUAAGCACCGGCUAACUCCGUGCCAGCCGCCGCUGUAACAC